rnacentral:rRNA from 1 species
AACCCUCGACCUUAGUUGCCAGCAUUCAGUUGGGCACUCUAAGGUGACUGCCGGCUAAAAGUCGGAGGAAGUGGGGGAUGACGUCAAAUCAUCAUGCCCCUUAUGACCUGGGCUACACACGUGCUACAAUGGGCGGUACAAAGGGUCGCGAACCGCGAGGGGGAGCCAAUCCCAAAAAGCCGCUCUCAGUUCGGAUUGCAGGCUGCAACUCGCCUGCAUGAAGCCGGAAUCGCUAGUAAUCGCGGAUCAGCAUGCCGCGGUGAAUACGUUCCCGGGCCUU